GUUUCAGUUAGUAUAGCAUCUUCCAUAUUCAUCCAUGCUGUUGCAGAUGGUGAGAUACACUUAAGACUGAGGACCCACAAUGGAAUGAAGAACAGAGAGAGCAUGUCCUGGUGUCCAGAGACAUUCAUUGCAGGGGAACAAAGAGAAACCUGGCUGAUCAGGUUUGGCUCCAAGAUUACAACAUGCUGGAGCAGGCUGAUGACCUCAGUACAUUUAGCUUUACUUGGCUCCAGGCUGAACUGCUCUUUUCCCACAUAGGGCAAUUGCCCAGCAGAAUAAAAAGCUGGUGAGUUUUGGCCAGCAGCCAGCAGUCAGC
rnacentral:lncRNA from 1 species